GUGUUUGAUGAGAGAGCACAGCUAAAAUUAAAUCGGCUCUGGUCCGAAUUGUAAUUUGGAGAAGGUGCUUCGGGUGUCCGACGAUGGUCCAAGUCCCUUGGAACGGGGCGUCGUAGAGGGUGAGAAUCCCGUUCGCGGCCGAUCGUCAGCCCCGUGUGAAGCCCUUUCGACGAGUCGAGUUGUUUGGGAAUGCAGCUCUAAAUGGGUGGUAAAUUUCAUCUAAAGCUAAAUAUCUGCCAGAGACCGAUAGCGCACAAGUAGAGUGAUCGAAAGAUGAAAAGCACUUUGAAAAGAGAGUGAAACAGUACGUGAAAUUGUUGAAAGGGAAGCGCUUGCAACCAGACUCGUUCGCGGGUGUUCAACCGUCCCCCGGGAUGGUGCACUCGCCCGCGAACGGGCCAGCAUCGGUUUUGGCGGCCGGAUAAAGUUCCCGGGAACGUGGCUCUCUUCGGAGAGUGUUAUAGCCCGGGAUGAAAUGCGUCCUGCCGAGACCGAGGACCGCGCUCUCGCUAGGAUGCUGGCGUAAUGGUUGCCAGCGACCCGUCUUGAAACACGGACCGAGGAGUCGACCAACCGCGCGAGUGUUUGGGUGUAAAACCCACGCGCGCAAUGAAAGUAAAGUAGGUGGGAGCCUCGGCGCACCAUCGACCGAUCCUGAUGUCUUCGGAUGGAUUUGAGUAAGAGCGUUUUUGGUCGGACCCGAAAGACAGUGAUCUAUGCGUGAAUAGGGUGAAGCCAGAGGAAACUCUGGUGGAGGCUCGCAGCGGUUCUGACGUGCAAAUCGAUCGUCAAAUUUGCGUAUAGGGGCGAAAGACUAAUCGAACUGUCUAGUAGCUGGUUCCUGUCGAAGUUUCCCUCAGGAUAGCAGCAACGAAAAUAACAGUCUCAUGAGGUAGAGCAACGAUUAGAGGCCUUGGGGAAGUAACUGUGAGUUUUGACCUUCCCGUUUUUUUACUGCAAUUAUGUUUUCCUGGUGCUAACGAAUCAUAGUCCUUAACCUAUUCUCGAACUCCGAAUAUGUGAGAAGUCCUUGUUACUUAAUGAACGCGGACACUGGAUGGUCGGCAUGUCCCAC
rnacentral:rRNA from 1 species